AGCCUUGGAACAGGACGCAAUCGGAACCUGCCGCCGCCACGGUCAGCUGCAAUUUUCACGUCCUCCCCCGUCUCCCAGACAGAACGGGUGGCUGACGCUGGCUCCGCCGCGUGCUCUAUGGCCGUGACUUGCAGUUUUCCUCUCCGGGAAAAGUUCGUGGACACCUUGAAGCGUCUAGAUCCGGUCCCUCUAGCGGCGCUCCCGCGGCGCGAUGGCAGCAGUGCCCUGAGCCGGCUGACUCGAAUGCCGGCUCGGCAGCUCCUGGUGCGGGCAGCAUGUUGGCGGUGCUAGCACGGGCAGCCCGGAGAGCGACGGUCGUCGGGGACGGCAAUCUUCUCCGACACGGUCAACGCAGUCCACGCACCGGGUCAAUCCUGAGGCACCGGGCUGGACAAAAAGGCCAAUAUAGAUUGUUCUUGCCUGCAAAAUCAGGUUACAUCUAGGGAGUGCGCCGCUGGACAGAGCGUGUGUCCAUCUAGGAUGAGUACCUUAGAGCAGUCAAUUCACAAGUAUGCAGAGGAAUCAACGAAAAGUAUUCUUCAGUCUGAACAAGGACUUAGUUUGGACUCUCUUGAUGAGGCGUAUGACUUCUACAAUUUGUAUUAAUGGGAGAUUGGAUUCAGGAUAAGGUAUGACAAAAGCAGAUUGAACGCCGAGAGGACCAAAUCAAUGCAGGAGAUCGUUUGCGGCUGCUCGAUGCAUACAUAAAUCUGUUUAAGUAUUUGUACUCAGUGCAUAGAUAAAUCCAUUUAAGUAUUUGUGUGAAAAAUUAAAAAUAGUUGAAUUGUCCAUUUAAGUAUUUAUGUGAAAAAUUAAAAAUAGUUGAAUUGUCUUUGGCAGUAACACUGUUUCUUGGCUACGAAGAGAAGAGGUCAAUGAUUGGUGGUGUUGUGAUUGUGAGAACCAAUCUCUCAAUAGAGCAUCAUGCUAGCAAACGGAUCACAGUUCGAGUGUGAGGUCGGCAAUUGGAGCACAUGGGCAUGUUGAGUUGUCAUGUCCUAAGGGUGAUGGAUGUACUUUACCUUGAGGAGAUUCCUUGAAAAUACAUCGUGAAGGGGUGGACGAAGGGUGUGAGGGAUAUUCUGCCCGGACACCUCGUGCAGUACCAGAAAGACCAAUCGGUUAAUAAGUCUUUUACAUGCAGGCAUUCGACUCUUUACUUGAAAGCUAUGAACGUUGUUCGGAUGGGCGACGCGACCGUGGAAGCGUUCUAGCACAUGCCAGCUGGGCUGAAGGCAUUGUUGGUCAAUGGAGCGCCAUUCCUUGAGAUGAGGGAUGGUUUGCUUUGAGGACCGCCAGGGGAAUAUGCUAGCAGGACUGCUUGGUAAUGGAGAAGUUGCAUUCAUCGCAAAUGGGGUUGCAGACCAUGAAUGCAGUGCAGGCCUGUCUUUGAGUGUCAAUGCACUUGGAGGGUUAGCUUGGAGUCUCUAUGGAGAAGCAGAGAGGGGUCGGCAGGCCGAGGAACAGCCGGGAGAAAGCACUGUAUGAGGGACUGAGAUGAGGUUCGGCAGUAUAUGUUGCCGUGAACGUCACAAGAGAACGACUUUGCCCUGACCGGGAAAACCAGGGAGAUGCAAGAAUUGUGGAAUGGAAGGACACCGCCGGAACACGUGCACGCCCACUUGGUGGUCCACAGAAUCAAAUGUGGUAACUACUCCCUCUGUCUCAUAAUAUAAGAGCGUUUCUGACAUUAGUCUAGUGUCAAAAAUGUUCUUAUAUUAUGGGACGGAGGGAGUAGAUUUUAUUUUCUGUAUGUUGUAUUAUGAGGAUUUUCUGGUGUGUUUCAGUGAGCUUUGUUUCACGCUUGUUCCUCCAGUUCGGGAUGCGAGACUAAACUGUGACAUUGAGUGAACUUGGUUGCCUUUGAUGAUUAGUUUCUUGGGUGUGCUUGU